AUACUUACCUGGCAGGAGAGAUAUCCAUGAUCACGAAGGUGGUUUUCCCAGAGUGAGGUUUAUCCAUUGCACUCCGGAUGUGCUGACCCCGUGAUUUCCUCAAAUGUGGGGAAACUCGACUGCAUAAUUUGUGGUAGUGGGGACUGCGUUAGCGCUUUCCCCUG
rnacentral:snRNA from 1 species